rnacentral:lncRNA from 1 species
CAAGGGUGCCCUUUCUUAAUCUCUUAAUAGUAGAUCCCUUUGGCUGAGCACUUAAUGUCCUAGCUGUAGGCCAAGCACUCCAUUAAGCGGAUAACCUCCCUUAAUACACACAACAACUCCAUAAAUUGGGGGAUUAACUACCAGCUUCUACAAAUGAACAGGCCAAGGCUCAGGAGGUUUAAGGGAGAUGUUUGAGGUCAGAUAACUAGUAAGUAAAAAGUGACUAUUUAGGAGUUCCCUGUUGAGGCUGAGUGGGUUCAGAACCUGACUAGUAGCCAUGAGGAUGUGGGUUCAAUCCCUGGCCUUGCUUAGCGGUUAAGGAUCCAGCGUUGCCCUGAGCUGCAGCGUGGGUGGCAGAUGUGGCUUGGAUCCCGUGUUGCUGUGGCUGUGGAGUAAGCCGGCAGCUGCAGCUCCAAUUUGAGCCCUUGACUUGGAAUUUCCAUAUGCCACAGGUGUGGCCCCAAAAAGAAAAAGGAAAAAGUGGCUCUUUAAACUCAGCCCUCGCUGACUCCAUAGCUGUGCCCCUUCUCCACUACUUUGCUCUAUGCAGCGCCAUACGGACCUACCUCUCCAUCAGUUUCUUCUUAGCUUUCACAGAGGCUCAAUUCUUCCUCAUACAAAAAGUACCUACCUUUCAUCCCUGCCACAUCUCAAGCUUCGUCAUAUCUUCCCAUUUGGUAAAGCGGGGUCAGCAAACAUUCUAUACUUCCACGCUCCCACUUGCUCCCGCCUACAGCUGUCCAGUUCUGCACUGGCUAUCUAGCGACACAGAUUAACCAGUGACUCCCUACCUUCCAAUCCAGUGCUUCCCUUUCAGCCCACAUUCUGCUUUAUUUCACCAAUUCCAAGAUGCCUCAUUUUCAACGUUUCUGAAAUUGAGGUGUCUUCAAAGAAAUAGCACUCAGUAUGUGAUAGAAUAAAUGUCUUUGCUCCUCUUUCAUCUCAUGGCUCAGUCCUUUCUCUGGGAAACUUCCCACUCUUGUGCCAGACAUUGUAAACAGGCUCGCCUCCUUCCCCUCUGAUAACUCUAUCCCCUCUUCUUUAUCAGCUCCUCUUCCUCAGACAACCCUCGAUUGGCGAUGCAGAGAAUUUGGGGUCUGGGGAGCAAAAUUUGCUGUCCCAAAAUAUCUCUUUGGCACACAGAUUAUUUUGAGCUGAAAACAAUCAAAGACUCAUGAAGAACCUUUGAGCUUCCCUCGAAUUGCCUAAAGAAGGUAACUGAGGACCCGCUCCAGGAAGGUGACUCUGCUAUGAACUAGGUGUAUAGACAGGGAAGAAUCUAGCAAAGUCUGUUACAAUUCCUCUCUGUGUCGCGCUGUCUCUGCACAGUCCAGCAAACAUUUGUUUACCAAACAUUUGCUUUUCCAUCUUCAUGUGAAUUGCCUUCCUCUCCUUUGAGGUCCCAAACCACAACCCCCAACAUCCUCUUUUGUCUUUAGCAAAGGUGGUAUUUAAGGUGAAAGGUUUAGUCAUUUAUGAGUUACGUUUCCUGGGGCUCUCCCAUGUAUACAUGUUAUUUAAUUUUUUGAUUUUCUGCUGUUACUUUGUCUCAUGUUAGUUUAAUUCUUAGACCAAGUGCCCAGCUAGCAUCAUUGCAGAGCAUGAGACUUUUUUUUUUUUGGCCACGCCCAUGGCAUGCAGAAAUUCCCGGGCCAGGGAUCCAACCUGCUGAAUAACCAGACCCACAGCAGUGACAAUGCCAGAUCCCCAACCCACUAAGCCACCAGGGAACCCCAGAGCACGAGACUCUAAUUCUUAGACCAACCAAAAGAACCUAGAAGGGUAGAGGGAAAUUUCUUCCUCCCCAAGAGUGGUGAUUCACUCUUACUACCUUAUGCACUACUUGGUAAUCUAUUACAAAAUCUUCCAUCUCACUUCUAUCGAAAAAGAAAACCUCUGAUUUCUGCUCCAGCCUCCAUCUUUCCUUUUAAUUAAUUGCUUAUCUCCAUGUCCUAUGAGUACCACUAACUCGGCCUGUUCCAAAUCUUAACCCCUUCCAGACUAACUUCCCUGCUUUUAUUCCUGAUCUUGGGUCACCACUGUGCAAGAAUAUCUCAGAGACAUUUACUCAUCUAUAAGGGAGACCAGUCGUGUAGAUUGCCAUCAGAUAGGCAAAAUAGGGUUUAUACAGGGAACAUUCUCCGUCAGAGGAGCAAUGAGAAAGGUUUUGUUUUUCUUUUUCUUUUUCUGGCCACACCUGCAGCAUACGGAAUUUUCCAGGCUAGAGGUUUAAUAGGGGCUGCAACUGAGGCCUAUGCCAUAGCCACAGCAACAUGGGAUCAGAGCCACACCUACAACCUACACCACAGCUUGUAGCAACUCCAGAUCCUUAACCCACUGAGUGAGGAUAGGGAUCGAACCUGCAUCCUCAUGGACACUAUGUCGGGUUCUUAACCCACUGAGCAUCUAUGAGGACGCAGGUUUGAUCCCUGGCUUUGCUCACUGGGUUAAGGAUCAGGCGUUGCUGUGAGCUGUGGUGUAGGUUAUAGCCGCAGCUCAGAUCCUGUGUGGCUGUGGUGUAGGCUGGUAGCUGCAGCCUGGGAACUUCCAUAUGCCAUAUGUGUGCCCUAAAAAGCACACAUAUGUGCAUGCACACACACACACACACACACACACACACGAAUUUACAGGAGGGACGAUAGCUCAAAGAAAGGUCCUAAUACUUUGACCCACACAAAGGAAGCAGAGAAUAAAAGGACAUAAAUGACAAACUGUUAAAUCCUAGUCAUAGAUCUUAAUCUAAAAGCCUUUUGUAGAACUGGAGUAGCUACCCAUUUCCAGAGCUGUGAGCUUCUAAAAGCUUUUCCCUUAGGGUUAUGAAUCUCCAGUGGGUAGAAGCCCUAGCGACUUUACACUGAGGAUCAUAAACCCGUAAGUAUAUACCCGAGAGUUUCAGAGAAAUAUUGAUUAAAUGUACUUGAUAUGACCUUUCCAAGCCUGACCUCUGGGCCUCCUCAGAAUGCCCGGUCUGCUGGUUUUACAUGAUAUAGGAAGGUGCCUGAUGUUGUCCCCUUCGAAGUAUAGCUUGUAACUGGCAUGCAAUUGUGUACAUAUCAAGUUUUGACAAGAGCUGACAAGACUGAAGGCUUAACAGGGUAAAGUGUAUUGGAGAAGUUAAUCUGAGCCUCAUGGAUUUUCCUAGAGGAAUUUCAUAUGGUGCGAGUGUGCAGUUUUGUGCUGUACAUCCAUCAUCUUAUCAUGAAGGCAGAGUAGGACAGAUCAAGAAAGCUUAAGCGCUCCUAAAAAUGUGGACAGUUCUGAAAUACCAUUCAUUCUUUCUAGAACUGUAAGGGUCAUAUGGACAAGGAUGGUUCUGUUUUAUUUGGCAAUUCCACAAACUUAAAUACAAACCUAUAAAGUGCAUUCCUUCAUCCAGAUGAAAAAAGCAAAAUCCCAAGUUUUUCUGUGUUAAAAGCACCAUCCUUUUAGAAGAAAGCUUUCAUCCCCAAAGAAAAUUGCAGCCUAUUCCUGAAGCAUAUUUAAGGUUUUGUCACUUGGGAAAUGGAAUAAAUCCAUUUGUAAGUGUUCUAGUGAUUCUUAAGGUGGGAUUCUGAGGCUUGCAAUUCCUUUAUAGUUUUUCCUAGAUUUUGAUGAUCAUAGAUAAGGGAAAUUUCAGUUACCUCUUGGGCCCUGGGCAAAAUUUUCACAAUCAUAUUUUUGUGUUUUGGAUUGAUUCUUCCUUAGCAUUGUAGAUGCUUCUCUAUGACAAAGGUAAUAAGCUCUGGACAUGUACUUGGGAGCCACCAGGUGGCCAUUGUGGGAAGUUCCAAACUCAAACUCUGCAUGAGCGGUUUGAUUGUCACUAUUUUUUCCCUUCUGUACGGGUAGCUCAUAGUACUCAAAAAAGUCCCUUCUGAUUGAUGAAAUCAUAUUAAGUAACCCUCC